rnacentral:rRNA from 1 species
UACGUAGGGGCGAGCGUUGUCCGGAUUUACUGGGCGUAAAGGGUGAGUAGGCGGUUAUAUAUGUCAGGUGUAAAAGGCUAUGGCUUAACCAUGGUUAGCACUUGAAACUGUAUGACUUGAGUGCAGGAGAGGUAAGUGGAAUUCCUAGUGUAGCGGUGAAAUGCGUAGAUAUUAGGAGGAACACCAGUGGCGAAGGCGACUUACUGGACUGUAACUGACGCUGAGUCACGAAAGCGUGGGUAGCAAACAGGAUUAGAUACCCUGGUAGU